GAGGAGUUACUCACAUCAACGGGCAGUCACAUCCUCAUCAUGAAACAGCCUGCUAGUGGCAUCCUCCAGACCAUGUGAAUACCGACUGAAGAUGCUGUCUGACCAGGGAGGGUAAAUUUUUUCAGAGAUUCCCCAUUGAAACCGGCAGGGAUGGCGGACCAUAUAGCGGGUGCAGCACCAGGAAUUCCACAACAGCGACC